UUUGAAAGUAAUUGUAUCGUUUUUUCUCUGUGUACAUCCAAACAUUCCCCUUCCCCGUUUUUCCCAAUGUUCACUUGAGUGCGGCACGUGUCCGGAUCAAAAAAAAAGAGCUUUCGACUUACUGACUAUGCCAGGCAUUUCGGAAUGCUUUCGUUUUCACAAAAACACCGAUCUACAGAUAUGAGAUAUAAGAUAUAGAUAGCAGCUAGCCUCAGGCAUGCAAACAAUUCGGGGAAAAUGAAAAAUAGAGGCACAGAGAAGUAAACAUAGUCAUAACGAUCAAUAGCUAGUAUAUCAUCCGGGCAAAACGAUGGCCCGGCUAUAAGAAUAUACUUUCGGCUAGUCGGUGGCAUAGUAAUGCAUCCGAACUCAAAGCGUUAACUAGGAAGUGAAAAUACUCGAAAUCAUUGUUCGCUGAACAAUGAGACGGGUUCAACGACCUGCAGCUGGAGGAAAAUUAAUGUGACGUGAAUUGUCACAAGAAAUGCGAGCGGCUCACGGCCAAUUUAUGUGGUGUCAAUCAGAAACUCAUCGUCGAGGCACUCAACCACGUGAAGCGAGGAGCCCGAGAAGCCCGUGACUCACCCAGUACACCGC